UUUGCAGCUGGAUAUUUACUUUGAGGCGUUCCAGUGAUGCCGAGCGGACUGCAGCCGAAAGGGAAAUGUCAAUGGAAAUGGUAACCAUUCAGAAAGCCUUUAGAAAUUCAAUUCAGCAGGCAGACAGUCAGUUGCCAAUGAAGCACUGGUAAAUACUCGUAGAGUGCACAGUGAGUCGAAGUACUAAUGUAUGCACAAAGACGAUGUUUGUUUGAUAUGAGAACAUAUUGGAUUAAAUGUUGGCAUUACCAGUUAGAUUGUGAAAAUCGUAAAGUUCUAUAGAAUUUUGAGCUUUGAACCGCUUUGAACUAGAUUAAAGAUCUAUUCUUGUUUCCGGCUAUGAGAAUAUAUAAAAUAAAUGCAAUUUCGGGAAAGGAAUCACUGCGCUCAACAUAAGAGAGUUACGGAGAGAUAUUUUCAAAGAAGUUGACAUUACCAGUUGGAGUGUGACAAUCGUGGAAUUCCAUAGAAUUUCGAGCUUUGAACCGCAUCCUAGAUUAAAGAUCGACUCUUGUUGCUGGCUAUGAGAAUAUAUAAAAUAAAUGCAAUGUAUGUAUCCCCAACAACCUUAAUUUUAAAGUUGAAUAAUAUUUUAAUAUAUUUUUUUUUUAUUUUAUUACGUAUACGUCGACAGUUCGGAAAAAAAAUCACUUUCCAAAGUGGGUAUUAACAACGCAAUCGUAGUUCUCAAAUGUCAGUCGAUCAUGUACACAUUUUGGAGGGAUUGGCUCACAACCUCCUCCAUUUGUUGAACAAUCUGGUAAUUUAAAUUGUAUACAUAUAAUUAAUAUACAUACAUGCACUUACUUAAUAAUCUACUUACUGCUGCUUCCGUUUGAGAAGUGAAACAAUGCGCUCAGCACUAAAGAUAAAAAUAUAUAUUUAUCCAGCAACAUCUAUUACCAUAUACUCUGAAGGUUGGCGAUCCAGUGUCAAGUUUUUAGUUUUUAUUUAACACUUGGAUUUUAAUUCAUUCGUUUCAGUUGGCAUUACCAGUUAGAGUGUGAAAAACGUGGAGUUCUAUAGAAUUUUGAGAUUUGCACCGCAUUGUAGAUUAGGGAUCGAUUCUUGUUUCUGGUUGUGAGAUGAUGGACUUUGAGCUGCCAUUGGACGGCACUUGGGCCAACGCUCUCAAUAUUCCAGUUAAGGAGAUAUAUUUAUAUAGCAAAAUACUUUUGUUAUUUAAAAUAUCUUUCUUCGCAUUGAACUGUAGAAAAUCUUUUGAUUUGUGGCGUUCACAACCUGGGAACAAAAAUUGUAUUUCUUUCGUACUAUUUAUUUUGGUAUUAUUUACUUACCAGGCGCAACAUCGUUACAGAAUCAGCAAUCGGCCGGUAUCUUCUCAUGCCAGUUAAUGAGUCAUACGGACUGUCAUACGGACAGUUAAAAGGAAUUUUUGAAUUCACUUGAUCUGCCUGGAAUGCCACCACAUGUAUUGUUUUUUAUUUGUUAAUAUUUGUAGGCGUGCUAUGACAAAAUAAACAGUCGAAAUAAGCCCGA